rnacentral:rRNA from 1 species
UACGGGGGGAGCAAGCGUUGUUCGGAUUUACUGGGCGUAAAGGGCGCGUAGGCGGUCACGACAAGUCAGUUGUGAAAUCUCCGGGCUUAACUCGGAACGGUCAACUGAUACUGUCGGACUAGAGUGCAGAAGGGGCAACUGGAAUUCUCGGUGUAGCGGUGAAAUGCGUAGAUAUCGAGAGGAACACCUGCGGCGAAGGCGACCUCCUGGACCAAUACUGACACUCAAGUGCGAAAGCGUGGGGAGCAAACAGG